rnacentral:lncRNA from 10 species
AAAAACUGUUCCCCACUCGAGUCCCCAGAUAGAACUACAUUUAGCAACUGGUCUCCUCCUGACUUCCUGGUACUAAAAACCACAACCACAAGGGCUGUUUCGUCGGUUUGUUGUAAAACAACAUUUGCUCCAGUCAUCUCACUGGAAAAUAGACUUUCUCUACUGGGCAGCCGCUGAGCCACUAAAUCUGUGUUGCUGAGUCUGCUGUUUGCAUGCAGGAAUGUGAAGGACUGCUCAAGUUGGAGAUACAAAUUGAAGCCAGCCCCAGUUCAAAACUGUUACAAAUGGAGUCUGUAGGCAUGAGGGGCUGACUAUAUAACUCAGAGUUCUCCAGUACUUUACUUUAAUAAAGAACACAAUCUUUAUUAAAGGAUAAGUAAUAAAAAUGUGUUGAUGUGCAACUUAUGGAUCUAUUAUUAAAACUCAACAGUCAUUGCAGCAAUGUUUAGAACUUAAGCAAACAAAAGUUUUGUGAGGGGGCAAUUUUAUCAAUGACAUUGUUUAGAAAUGUUGGUAGAUGGUGAUCAUAAAAAGCAGAUCAAUGUUUUAUUUCACUUGGGUUUUUAAAAAUUAUUUUUAAAAAAUU